GAUGAACGCUGGCGGCGUGCCUAAUACAUGCAAGUCGAGCGAACAGAUAAGGAGCUUGCUCCUUUGACGUUAGCGGCGGACGGGUGAGUAACACGUGGAUAACCUACCUAUAAGACUGGGAUAACUUCGGGAAACCGGAGCUACUACCGGAUAACAUAUUGAACCGCAUGGUUCAAUAGUGAAAGGCGGCUUUGCUGUCACUUAUAGAUGGAUCCGCGCCGUAUUAGCUAGUUGGUAAGGUAACGGCUUAGCAAGGCAACGAUACGUAGCCGACCUGAGAGGGUGAACGGCCACCCGGGAACUGAGACACGGUCCAGACUCCUACGGGAGGCAGCAGUAGGGAAUCUUCCGCAAUGGGGGAAAGCCUGACGGAGCAACGCCGCGUGAGUGAUGAAGGUCUUCGGAUCGUAAAACUCUGUUAUCAGGGAAGAACAAAUGUGUAAGUAACUGUGCACAUCUUGACGGUACCUGAUCAGAAAGCCACGGCUAACUACGUG
rnacentral:rRNA from 1 species